CGGGUCUCUGGGCAGAACAUGUGUCCGGUAGAGCUAGGACCGGAAAAAGCCACUCUAGGUCUAGGUUAGGAGUGAUGACAGUUAAAAGAUAUAUAAGGAAAAGAAGGAAAGGAUCGUUUCUGUACAAAAGGAGCUAUUUUUGCAUAUCGAGCGCAUAAGUUUUAUAACUUAGGUGUCUGUUUAUGGAGAGGGUGGGAUACUACCUUUUAGCUCAAGGAGUGCACAAAACGGUAUCACGAAUUCUGCUCUUUUGAUUUAAACACCCAACUUUGAAGAAUCGCUCAUGGUGCUUGUAAACACAUAUCCCCAGAUCCCUCCCUAGACCUAUCGAACAACUCCAACGGUCUCGGGAAUGUGCGGGUUUCUGAAAAGCUUGGGAAGCAAGACCUGACUAGACCCCCAAAUCUGAUAUUGGCUGAAUGGCCGACCAAGGGAGUGCAUAAGAAGGUAAGUUGUCAUGUGGCACUCUCAUCACAUUUUCAGGGUAGAGGACUUUUUGAAAUACAGAGGAGGUGUAAGGGGAACUAAGAAAACACUUGAUUACAGCUCAUGGUAGCUGGCACAUAGGAAGGUCCUUACUGUUGGCUGAGCCUUGUUCUUUCCCAACAUUGAGACAUCGAGAGCAGCCCAAGCAGCAAAAAGAUUACGAAGACAGCUUGAGCCAGGGUCUUUAGACUACACAGCUUCUGCUUUUUCCCCUCUGUGAAGGAUGCCUAGGGACUGUGCUGGCAGCCCAGCUCCAGCCCUUGAUCCUGAACUUCUGCCUUCCUGGAACUUGCAAACUGAAUGUGAAUAUUCAGU
rnacentral:lncRNA from 1 species